UGAGUCAGAAGACACCAUCCUGCAGUCCAGGGAGCAGCAUGUAAUGGCACACAGAUGCUGGACUCUGGUGCUGUGGAAGACAGAGUUCUCCAGAAAACCUCAUUGGACUGCACACCCCUCCUGGAUCCUGUGACCAACUCCCUUAUGUUUAUUGUACCGGGCUUCACAGACCAGGCACUCAAUAAAUAAGGGUAGAGAUCUAGAUAAGGUUUUCCUUGGUUGCCUCGAGAGAGCCGGUGCCUGAGGACACAGAAUCCCCGCUGGCUGCAGCCCUCAUUGCCAAACCUGCUGAUAGCUGUGGAGUUGCAGUUGCUGAUUAGGACAGCGGUUGCUCCAAGGGCAGCCACUGGGAUAAAACAACCCCAAAGGGUGCAUACUAUGAGCGCGGAGUCAAGAACAGAUACACAUUAAUGGACACAAAUCCUGGUACAGCUGCCUGCCCUGAACUCACAGACACAGAGUUUAGGAAGACUCAGGCGGAAGCAGCCGUGCCUUAGAUGGAAAGAACCACGAGGUCCGUGCGUCCCAGAACACAGUGAAGUCAAGGAAGUUUGGACAAAGGAAGUCACUAAAGGCCAAGUUCAACUUGUGAGCAAUAUUCUGGAGUUGUGAAAGAAACUCCGGCAUCACUGCAGGCAAUUAUGCAAGUGGCAUUUUGCAAUUAUACAUUCACACUAAACCCUGAACAAGCCUAAUUCCAUCAUGGUGGUGGGUUGUUGUUUGAUCCCCCAAAAGUAGAUGGGGUAAUAACAAAGUAAGCAGAAACGCCUCUGAAUAAUCCACUGCUGUGAGUGCACAGGGAAAAGGAAUAGUCUGGCCUCUGUAGACCAGCCGAGAUGUCUAUAAAUGAGAGACUGACUUAAUACAUUGUGGGAAUCUCUAAAAUAUAAUGUUAUGCAACCGGUUAAAAUGGUGUUCCAUAUUUAUUGACGAGGAAAGAUGUUGACGCGGCAAGCCUGUAGGUGACUAAAGCCUAUGCAACUAAAGCCCAAAGCUAUGCACAUCUACUGUGACAUUUUUGUGAAAGAAAAAAAAAUGAGGUUUUAAUUUCUUUCUUUAGGUUUCUGAAGGAUGUGAAUUUUAAAAAGUAGGGUGUUGAGCUGGAAAAAUCGCUAAGCGUUAAAAGCUCUCGCU